UCAGAUACAUUAAUCAAUUUUCUACAAUAUUGGCUCUAUUUAAAAAAUCACUUUUUAUUUUAUUGUGUCUAAAAUAAGGUUAAGCCAAUAAAGUCAAGUCAAGAAACUUAGGUAUAAUACGUAUGUAAGUGUGUACGGAGUAAAGUGACACAACACACAUAGUAUGUCAACAGGUAACCGUUAUGACUAUAGGACUUUAUACCUGUUUCUUUUAAUUACUAUUAAUAUUCUUGGUUCGGGCAUUCAGCUGGCUGAUAGUUCCAUAGCUCGACCUCAUUCCGCUCGUUUUGUGCCGACAGCCAUUAUUCGCUAUUCUGUGCCCCGGUGAUCCAAGGCGGGCUUCAUCAACCUGGAGACUGAAUGUUCUCGAACCACUUUCGAGCUUUGUUUAUGUGAUUUUGUUGCGUCGUCGUCCUGAUGGAAGACACAAGACAACGGCAUUUCGUAUUUCGCAUACCAACAUAAACAUUUUGAUCCUUUCAGCGGUAUAGAAGACACGGCUGCUCUUCCUCGUGGUCUGGAAUAAGAUUGACCUGAAGGAUGACAUUGCCACCGCCCGCGUUCAUCUAGUUCCAUUUGUCUAGUACAAUAUAUUAUUUAUUUUUAUGUUUUCGUGUUCAGGAGUCUCAUUGUUUUCAUUUCAUACAUUUUCUUUUUUAGUUUAGAUUACUUUCAAGAUUUUCUCUAAGUAAAAAUAUUUUCUUCUCCGCUCCGCAUAGAUACUACGAUCGAUGUAGUAUGCAGAUGCUGAUGCAGAUUAAAAUCGCUUUUUUAAUAAUGUAUACAUAAGUAAUGUUGUACAAACGCACACACACACACAUAUAUCAACUCGAAUUUUAGCUAUUUUGUAGGUACUUAUCCAUGUAUAAUUGUAUGUAUAUCUUCUGUAUAUAUAGGGAUAUAUCUAUAUAACGCUGCCCAUGCGGAUGGCAGGCUGGCUGGCUGGUGUAUACAUAGACUUAGUGGCUA